UACAGAGGGUGCGAGCGUUAAUCGGAAUUACUGGGCGUAAAGCGUGCGUGGACGGUUAUUUAAGUCGGGUGUGAAAGCCCCGGGCUCAACCUGGGAAUGGCAUUUGGGACUGCAAGGCUGGAGUACGGCAGAGGAGACUGGAAUUCCUGGUGUAGCAGUGAAAUGCGUAGAUAUCAGGAGGAAUACCGAUGGCGAAGGCAGGUCUCUGGGCUGAUACUGACGCUCAUGCACGAAAGCGUGGGGAGCGAAACAAGGAUUG
rnacentral:rRNA from 1 species